rnacentral:rRNA from 1 species
GGGCCCGCACAAGCGGAGGAACAUGUGGUUUAAUUCGAUGGUACGCGAGGAACCUUACCUGGGCUUAAAUGUAGAGUGCAUUUCACCGAAAGGUGGAUUUUCUUCGGAACUCUCUGCAAGGUGCUGCAUGGUUGUCGUCAGCUCGUGCCGUGAGGUGUCGGGUUAAGUCCCAUAACGAGCGCAACCCUUAUCGUUAGUUGCCAGCGGGUAAUGCCGGGAACUCUAACGAAACUGCCGGUGUAAACCGUGAGGAAGGUGGGGAUGACGUCAAAUCAGCACGGCCCUUAUGUCCAGGGCUACACACGUGUUACAAUGGCCGGUACAGAGGGCAGCUACCUGGAGACAGGAUGCGAAUCUCCAAAACCGGUCUCAGUUCGGAUCGAAGUCUGCAACUCGACUUCGUGAAGCUGGAUUCGCUAGUAAUCGCGCAUCAGCCAUGGCGCGGUGAAUACGUUCCCGGGCCUU